CUCCACACGGUGGUCCCACGGCUACUUCCCUUCCCCAGCAGCUUGGGCAUUACUCCUGAUGCCCGGGUCUUAAUUUACAUCCUCAUCGAGAAGGAACAGAUGCCCCAGUAUCUCCCUGAGGAAAGAUCAUGUCUUUCUCCCUGAUGUUUUGAAACUUCAUGAUGCUGCGUCUUGGUGUAUUUAGCAGAUGAACCUCCUGAACUGAUACCCUCAUUUUCUCUUUUUCACAAUAAAUAUUUAUGUUGGCCUUCUGUCUACAUUCUGGGAGAUGUGCUCAACUUUCACCUUCCAGUGCAGAACUUGUACCCCCGUGCAAAUAUUCAAAAAGCAGACUUUUCUUCUUGUGAGGGCGAGAAUCUGGGUCGUCUGUGUGGUAACUUUCAAACAAACUCACACCCUUGCCUUCAGAGGUCCCUGCGUCUUCGAGCCAGAGUCCCCAUGUCCCUGUUUCAGCUGAAGCUUCAUCAUCCCCAGAGCUCAGAACCUUUCCUCCCCUCUCUGCCUGCCCUAACCAUUAUCGGCCGCUCGUCAGAGGAUUACGGCGCCUGCUCUCCGGCUGCUGGUGAAGGCUUCUCAGAUCAGGCUCGGGA